rnacentral:lncRNA from 1 species
CACCUCUUUGGUUACCUGGCAUGGCAAUGCAACAUAAGUCUACAUGGUAUUGUUGUACAUAACAUGAUGAUAGAACAUAAAUUGCUGACACUAAGCGCACAUAUUUUGGUACUUAGUCGUCCAUGCAUGAUUUAUUAUAGUUAAAAUUCUAUUGUAGGUGCGAACCAACAUGUGAUUGGGUGGUUAGUGGUAGGGUGCGCGUGCGUGCGUUUAUACGGAUACGUGUAUGUGCGUAUGUAUGAGUGUGUGUGUUUGCACUAUGUUGAAAACAAAUGUAUUGUAGGCAUGCUUUGUUUUAAAAAAGAAUACGAAGAGAGAUACUUCAUUAGAUAAAAAAAGUAUCUCCUAAUAUCAUUGUCGUCACUAUAAGUUUGAUUUGUAUAAGUGCAAAUCUACUUGGUAGAGCUACUCUUUUUGUGAAACCCAUGUCUGAGUUAAACAUUACGCACUAAGCAAUACAGACUGUAUUACGAUAGAACGCUAAUGUUCGGACUAUCUAUUUGGUAGAGCUAGUAUUUUUUUUAAAUCCACAGGACACAUCAAAUAGGAGUCCAGGCUGUUUUUUUCUUUCACAUGCUAGCUAGGGCGCUUAUCUUGUGCGUGGGGGGUUAGGUGCCGGACACUUCUUUUGUUUUUCUGUACUGGACACUUCCUAUUUUCCGUAGGGGGUUAUGUAGCUCUUAAUCGUGAAAAAUCUAGAGAGGUUGCGAAGGAGUUUGUCUUUUCUUCAGUGAAUGCUUAUCUAAUAGACUAUAAAAUAAGCUACUGGGUUGGAUGAUCUCUGUUUCAGAUGGUCAAUACCUUCAUUGUUGAUAAAACUGCAAGCACAUGAACAUAGCUCUAUAUAGUACCAUGUGAGCCGUUGAUAUCAUGAGGAUUUAUUGACUGACUGUGUUAAUCCACAAAUGUGCUUUGAACAACUUGAGCUGAUUACACUUUCUUGACAAAUUUUUGUGAAAAAAUUCAGGUACUUAGCCAACUGGUGCACAUGGACGUGAUGACUUUGCAGCGUUUAUGGACCAACCAACUUGUAAUCAUGGAUCUUAUGUGUUGUAGACCAUUUGGUGAUUUGGUUAUUUUAUAGCUUGCAUUUUGUGCAUGUGGAUACAGACUUGUGUGUUCUGGAUCAUCUAGUUGAAGUUUCUCAUACCAGCAAAUAGUGCUGUCUUUUUGUGACUUGUGUGUUCUAGGUGAUUGUUAAGAUGGUAAAAACUAUGCUUUGUCAAGAUUGAUGUGUUUGUCAACUUGUGUUCAAUGUAUAUGCACGUUUGUGAAUAUAUUUCAUUGUUGUACAAAACGUGUUCAUC